UACGAAGGGUGCAAACGUUGCUCGGAUUCAUUGGGCGUAAAGAGCUCGUAGGCGGCUGCUCAAGUCGAAUGUGAAAACUCGAGGCUCAACCUCGAGCCUGCAUUCGAUACUGGGCGGCUAGAGUCUGGUAGGGGGAUCUGGAAUUCCUGGUGUAGCGGUGGAAUGCGCAGAUAUCAGGAGGAACACCGGUGGCGAAGGCGGGAUCCUGGGCCAGUACUGACGCUGAGGAGCGAAAGCGUGGGGAGCAAACAGG
rnacentral:rRNA from 1 species